rnacentral:rRNA from 1 species
UACAGAGACCUCAAGCGUUAUCCGGAAUCAUUGGGCGUAAAGCGUACCGAUAGGUGGUUUAUUAAGUCUUGGGUAAAAGCCGGAAGCUUAACUUCCGCGUUUGCUUAAGAUACUAAUAGACUAGAGGGGCAAAGAGGAGAUUGGAACCAACGGUGUAGUAAGUGAAAUGCGUUGAUAUCGUUUGGGAACACCGAAAGCGAAGGCAGAUCUCUGGGUGCCACCUGACACUGCUAGGACGAAAGCGUGGGGAGCGAAUGGG